rnacentral:RNase_P_RNA from 1 species
GAGGAAAGUCCGGGCUCCACAAAUACAAUUUAUGCUGGAGAAAUCCCAGUGUAGGUAACUAUGAGGAUAGUGCCACAGAAAUAAACCGCCAGAAUAAAAUAAAUAUAUUAGCUGGUAAGGGUGCAAAGGAAAGUUAACAGCUUACCAAAAAUACUGUAAAGUAUUUGUUAGGUAAACCCCUAAAACGGAGCAAAGCUACUAAACAAACUUUUGUGUAUAUUUUAUAUAGUUUAGUUCAAAAUACUGCAUGAAGUUAUUGGUAACAAUAACUCGAGAGGAAUAGCUAUCCUUUACAAUAUACCUUUAUUAUAUUGAAAGAACAGAACCCGGCUUAU